rnacentral:lncRNA from 1 species
GGAUGUGCCUCCAACUGGCCAGGGUCCGAGCGCUCCCCACCUGGUUUGACAAAGUGCCAAGCAAGCCAAUCCAAGUUGCACCUUACCUUCAAAGAAUAAUCCUUGCCUUCCAAGUUCCCACUUGCCUUCCAAGAAUAAAUCCUUGCCUUCCAAAUGUUCCCUUGCCUUCCAAGAGCCCCAUGUUUCGAACUCACGACCUCUGCUCUGCCAGGUUUGACAGCGUCCGUCCUUUGCCAGUGGAGAAGUGCCCUGGGGGGCAAAACUGUGUAGGGUAAACUUUUUUAAAGUGACUGGCCCCACCGCACUGCGGCCCCAUACUCCAGAAACCCCACCUCCAGCCUGGCCCUACGGGUUAGUAUACACCGCUUGGCCCUACACGUAUGGAGGGAUUUUUUGGAGAGGCACAGUACCACCAUGCUGGUAAGAGGACUCGAACGCGGAACCUCAGCCAGCAAUGCCAAUAUCCUUACCACUAGAGCAAAU